GACUGGCAUUUUGGGAGAGGCACACACAUUGAUUCAACCAUACCCCACUCCAGCCCCUUACUUCCGUCCUUCUUGCACCCCAAAUGCACUUACUGUGUUCCAGCAACCCUAAGCAUCUUAAUUUGUUCCUGAGGUCUACAGUUUUAAGCCUCCCCUAACAACCACUUAAAUCAGCGAUGGGUGAGACUCAAUUACUGGAUCCUGAGGCAAAAUUCCCGAGGCUGUGCUCCUUGCUGGGGUCCAGGGCAAUCUGCAGGUGGUUUCCUCUGCUGGCCUCCUUCUAGCUGUGCAUCUCUCACCCAGAAGAGCUCCAUACACAUACACUCAGGCCCCACAGCAGCUGCCUCUUCCUACAUGAGCAGCUCAUCAGCCACAGGCCCUCAUAUCUUGAGAUUUUUUUCUUGAGACAGGGUCUCUCUAUGCAGGGCAGGCUAUCCUUGAGCUCACUUUGUAGCCCAAACUGGCCUUGAACCUGUGGGGGAUCCUCCUGCCUCAGCCUCCCAAGUGCUGGAAUUACAGGCAUGGGCCACUAACACCUAGUUGCAUUUUAGGUGUUUGAAGCAUGAGUGAGUUGUGUUCUAUAAAUUUGGGGGGUGCCACACAAGCUCUGCUAGAAUUCAUGAAGGCUCCUCAUCCGCAGGCUUUGAGGAGGAAACUUAGGACCUUCCCCAGUCCUCUCUUGGCUUGAUCCAGCCUCAGGUGAUCAAGCACAGAGGUGGGUGAGUGGCUGGAGAUUGUCUGCCUCUCUGCGGCUGCCGUGCACACUUGCGGGCCCCGCUAAGAAUGUACUGUUUCUUGAUGUGAUUGGAUCCCAGACUGUGGGAAGUUUGAAUUUCUGGUCUUCAAGUCAGACUGCUGAAACCCACAGGGGCUGAGCAGCCGGGUCACACCUCCACAGUUGCUGAGCACAGAGGUGCUCCUUCCCUAUUUGUAAUUGCUAAUUGCCAAGAACCCUCCCGGCUCCCCACCCUAUCUAAAUUACCGACUUUUUUUUGGUGGUGUCGGGAUUAAACCCAGGGCUCUCAUGCUGAGACCAAGUUUUGUUAAUUCGCUAAAUCACACAGGCUGGGCUUGAAUCCAUGUUUGCAGUAUCACCCUCCUGGAAUGCUGGGGUUACCGGCCUGUGAGCUCAGAUGCCUGAUUCAGCUGUCAUAGAUUCUAAAGGUGCUGCCCCAUCCACACAGCUCUUUUGAAUACGUCCGGUGUUUUCACCAUUAAGACUUAACGGUGUGAUUCUUCAGGGAGAAUGUGCUUCAAAACAUGAAGCUCUCCACGUUCCCAGAAGAUGAUUUUCUGCAGACAACAGACAGCUGGUUAAAUUAAGAGCAGAAACAGUGUGAGGAUGGGUUUCCUCUCCGCAAAAGCAACGUUUUUGCCUCAACCAUGACUGCUCCUUCUACUCACUGGAUAUAUGGCUCUAUACCUGUUCUGUAUUUCUAUGCACAAAGGAUGAUUUUGGGAACUUAUUUUGGAUUGGAUCUUGGAUGUCCCUAAAGGUCAUGUGUUGAAAGCAUGGCCACCAACCUGGGAGGUGGCAGGACCUUCAGGAGAUGGGAGAAGAUUGGAUCACUGGAGGGUGUAUCCUUGACCUUCUCUCUCUUUUUCACUCUCUGCUUCCUACCCUCCAUGAGCUCUCUCAGAUUGGUGGUGCAGUACCCUAUAGCAACUGGAGCCUGUGACAGAGCUCUGAUGUUCCUAAGAUUAUCAGACAAGUGUGGACAGCUUAUUGAGGAAUCUAAUGCACAUCUGCCCUGUCACCUUCACCAUAGACGGAGGUCAGGUCAGAAAAUUCCUGGUACGUUUCUCAGCCAGCAUUGAAGUCCUUGGCCAUGCUGAGGCAUCUCGCAGCAGAGCCCACUCACCUGCCUGGCCAGCCACAGUCUCCGCAUGCCCAUUUCUCCCCUUUUGAUGUCUGUGUUAUCAAUGCCUUUAACCAUAUAUUCAAAUAAUUUUUGGUCUGUUUUAUGCAGCGGCUUGUGGAGAAGAAUAAAGUAUUAGACUUCAAAGUC